AUUGAACGCUGGCGGCAUGCCUUACACAUGCAAGUCGAACGGCAGCACGGGAGCAAUCCUGGUGGCGAGUGGCGAACGGGUGAGUAAAGUAUCGGAACGUGCCCAGUCGUGGGGGAUAACGUAGCGAAAGUUACGCUAAUACCGCAUACGAUCUAUGGCUGAAAGCGGGGGAUCGCAAGACCUCGCGCGAUUGGAGCGGCCUAUAUCGGAUUAGGGAGUUGGUGGGGUAAAGGCUCACCAAGCCGACGAUCUGUAGCUGGACUGAGAGGACGACCAGCCACACGGGGACUGAGACACGGCCCAGACUCCUACGGGAGGCAGCAGUGGGGAAUUUUGGACAAUGGGCGCAAGCCUGAUCCAGCCAUGCCGCGUGCAGGAUGAAGGCCUUCGGGUUGUAAACUGCUUUUGUACGGAACGAAAAGGUUUGACUUAAUACGUUGGACUCAUGACGGUACCGUAAGAAUAAGCACCGGCUAACUACGUGCCAGCCGCCGCGGUAA
rnacentral:rRNA from 1 species